CUAAAGUUACAAUUUGCGUGUUUGCUUGUCUGUUUGGUAAGUAAAACUUCUAUACUAUUAAAUCUUAUUAUGAUAGUUGUGUUAUAGAUAAUUAAUAUUGUAAGGUUGUUCUUGUAGUAUAUAUAACACCCGUUCCAUGAUUUUUCAAAUGAGAGACAGACAAGAAGAAAACUUUAAAAUGAGCACUACCUGAUUUAUAUACUGUCUAAAAUAUUUGGUAAAGAUUUGCGGAAAAUUUUAUGAUCGUUUUACCCAAUAUAUCAAAGUGGGAUAUUGUUUCUCGUGUCGUGUCAAAGAUUCAUUUUUUAGGCGGACUUGAAAUCACUAAUCUAGAUAUAAAAGUUUGUAUAAAUCGGUAUCCAGUUGAAUUAUAGAAAAUAAUAGGUCCUUCAAACAAAAAAUACGUUUGACAUAUAUACGUAACGAUGUACUAAUUGAAUAUUUAUUUAAUGAUCUUUUAUGCAUUUAGUGAACUUAAAACUAUUGUUAGAUCGGUUGUCAGAUGGAAUUUUUUAAAGUUGAAAAAUAUUAAAAGAAUUCUAAUUUAACAUUUCAAGCGAAUGCAGACUAACAAUAUUAUAAAGUAUGUCCUGAAGUACUUAAAAAUCGUUAUUCGACCAAAUCUACUAUGUUAUUAUGACUUACUAAAAGGGUAUUUUACUUGACCCAUAUAUUUAAUUUUUUAGUACUGUACAUUUUUUAAUAUUAUGAAAUCAACCUGUAGCCUUAAUAUAUACAAAAAUUAGAAUCUGAAGUGAGAUGAUGUAUCAAAUAUGUUUGCUUUAUAAGUUUUCAAUACAUAAAAGUCAACUUAAACACCAUGAACAAGUCCAACAUUGAAAGUUGCACUAGACUAUGUCCGUGUCUGUUGUGACGUUUUUGAUUUAAACGAACGCAACCUAUGUAUUACUGGUAAAUUAUUAAACCAGGGAUAUCGUUACCAUAAAUUACUUAAAACCUUUACUUAAUUUUUCCAUAGAUAUAAAGAUUUGGUUUUGAAGUUUGGUUGUCCUGUAGAAAACUUAUUUCAAACGGGAUAGCACAUCCUUAUUUUUACGGAAAUAUUGUUAACCGUGCCCGGAAAUUUAGAAAUGAUCCAUGUAAACUUGUUGCUCCUUUAAAUAAACUUAUUCUUAAAGGUUGCCUAUUCAACACUGUGAUAAGAUCAUUGAAUAUUGUUUUUAUUGGUAUAAAUAUUGACUUUGUUAGAUUGUAAAUAUUACUAGUAUGUUAUAUAUACUGUGACAUAUACAUUUUCAUGGAUCUACUAUCUGUCGAUACCUGUAACUUGGCAUUGCACAAGGUCAUGUUUUUCUCUGGCUGUUAAUGACGUCUUUACACUAAAACCAUUGUAUGUUGGAUGUGUACGGAUUGAUUGCUUAGUCUUAGAGCCAUGAUUUUUUUUAUUAGUUGUUAAUGACUUUGAACUAGCUGUCAGAUAACUGCGAGUACUCUCAGAUCUGUUCAUUGUGUCUUUUUGUGUCGGGUUGUAUAAGUACCCGUCCACGUCCACUUUUAUUUUGUUGUCUAUCUGAUGAGCUGAGCCUUUUUCAACUGAUUUUUAUAGUUCGUUCUUAUGUUGUACUGUUAUACCACUGUCCCAGGUUAGGAGGAGGGUUGGGAUCCCGCUAACAUGUUUAACCCCGCCACAUUAUUUAUGUAUGUGCCUGUCCCAAGUCAGGAGCCUGUAAUUCAGUGGUUGUCGUUUGUUUAUGUGUUACAUAUUUGUUUUUCGUUCAUUUUUUUUUACAUAAAUAAGGCCGUUAGUUUUCUCGCUUGAAUUGUUUUACAUUUCUUAUCGGGGCCUUUUAUAGCUGACUAUAUGCAGUAUGGGCUUUGCUUAUUGUUGAAGGCCGUACGUUGACCUAUAAUUUUUAAUGUUUGUGUCAUUUUGGUCUUUUGUGGAUAGUUGUCUCAUUGGCAAUCAUACCACAUCUUCUUUUUUAUAUUAGACUACCUUUUCGAAUUUUUUUAGCCCAUUUUCAGAAUUUUCCGCAAAGAACUGCUGCCGGGUUCAGAGAUGCAAAUUGAUGCUUUAAAAGGGUCUAGUUAAUAUCUUUUUGUUGAUUUUUUGUCGGUGGAAUUUAUGCUUAUACACAAAAAAGAUCACUUGUAAUUUUACCUUACAUAAUCGACUAAAAGUCUAUUUUUUUAAGGUUUGUCGAUAAUUUAAAAGUUUACCAAUAUUGCGAAGUUACAUAUUUUAAUUUAAGCCGUGGUGCAGUCAGUUUAUUUUCGAUCUAUGAGUUUGACUGUCCCUCUGGUAUUUUUUGUCCCUUUUAAGUAUACAUCAUUAAUUAUACACCAUUAUUUAAACUCUUAAAGCCCAUAGAAACAGACAUUAACAAUGAAAAAAACCUUAUUUCGCGUUUUAAAAUAGGGACGAAAGAUACCCGUGGGACAUUCAAACUCAUAGUUAGAAAAUAAAGUGACAACGCAAUGGCUGAAAAAGACAAACAGACAGAGAAUAGUACACACGACACAACAUAGAAAACUACAUGCUAAGCAAAACGAACCCCAACAAAACUGGGGGUGAUCUGAGGUGCACCGGAAGGGUAAGCCGAUCAUUCUCCACAUGUGAUAACCUUCAUGUCUUUGCCAAAGGUUCACAUUAUAAUAAUUAUUUGAAUGUACUAUUGUUUUCAAUUCAUCUUACAAUGCAUUCAUUGUAAACGUCCAAAAAGCAUUUCGCACGGAACUGUACUAAUAUGAAACUAUCUUAUUUAUAUUUUGGAUGCACUUUGAAACCUAGAAAGAAUCCUUAUUUGGUACAUAUUUUAACAAGAUCAUACUAUAAUAAACAUAGCUGUAUGUAGUAAGUUUCAAGUUUAUGUGACCAAACCCCAAAAAGAGACUGGGACGAAUAAUUUUUUAUAAUACAGGUGAAGUCUAUAUCAUGUUAAUCGAAAGCAUGAUAUACGAGUAAAUUUGUGUUUUGGCAUGUGUGCAUUAGUAUAAUGAAACAUUUUAUUUCAGCCUUUGUCAUUGGCCAACAGGAAACAUGUAUGACUUCAGGCGAUUGUCAAGUUGUCCAUUGUCAGAGAACUGGAGCAACUUCCAUAUGUGUUCAAGGCUUGUGCAUUUGUGUGAUACGAUCUGACUACAGUAAGUUUUUAUACGCCCGUCAAAAUUUUGACGGGACGUAUUAUGGUAUACAAUUGUCCGGCGUCCGUCUGUCCGUCUGUCCGGCGUAAACAUGUCGCAACGUAACUUGCGAACGACUCGUCCAAAUCAUGAAACUUGUUUCUUAUAAUGGUCAAACGUUCUGUAUACUUUUUGUUGAAAAAAAGAUUAAAACUUUUUUUAAGUUACGGGACUUUGUAUCUAAAACUGGGGGGGGGGGGUGUUUGUUUUCCACAUGUUGCGCUGUAUCUCAGAAACUAUUUAUGACAAUUGCUUAAAACUUUACAAGGCUCUUAGUUAUAAUAAUCUAAAGAUCUGAUUAUUUUUGGUGAUGAUUCAAAAACUUAUUUUUUAGUUUUGAGUAUUUAGUAAGAAAGGGGGAUGGGAUUUUAACAUGUCGCGCCAUAUCUCAAAAACGAUUUAUGAUUUUUGCUUAAAACCUUACACACUUAUUAGUUAUAUUAAUCUAAAGAUCUGUAUACCUUUUGGUUCUGAUUCAAAAUUUUAUUUUAGAAAUAUUGAGUUUUUUUGUUAAGAAAAAGGGGGGCUUUCACAUGUCACACUGUAUCUCAGAAAUAAUUUAUCAUUAAUGCUUACAAUUUCACACACUUCUUAGUUAUAAUUAUCUUAAAUAAGAUCUGUCUACUUUUUGUGAUCAUCAUGAUUCAAAAUUUUAUUUAGAAAUAUUUGGUUUUCACAUGUCACGCUUUGAGAGAAAUAUGAUAGACAAAGACAUAAACAAAUAUCUCUUGCCAUAUCUCAAAAACAAUUUAUGAUUAUUGCUAAAAACCUUACACACUUAUUAGUUAUAUUAAUCUAAAGAUCUGUAUACCUUUUGGUUCUGAUUCAAAAUCUUAUUUUAGAAAAGACAUGAAAAAAUAUCUCUUACAAAUAGAUACAUGUCCCGGAAAGGUACAAGCCAAUCCUAAACUACACAAAGCUAUUGGUUCCCAUCUAGGCAUGAAAUAUGCUUGCACCUACCUCGGACAAUGGGAAGACGAUAGUUUUCAAAACAGCAAUUUACAACCCUUUUCAUAUUGGAGAAUGUUGAUGACAUCUGGGGGAUAUGGGAACAUAGAUGAAUUAAAAAUUCAAGAAAUGUCAAACAGUUUGCAUCCGAAUUAAAACAGAAAUGCGGUACUCAACUGAAAAAAUAGAAUUCCUUGAUGUGUUUGUACACAUAGAAAACGGACAACUUAAAACAGAUCUUUACACAAAAUCAACAGAUAAACACCAGUACUUACACGUGUCGUCAAACCAUCCAAACUCUGUAAAAAUGCUAUACCAUAUGGACUCGGUUUUCGUGUCAAAAGAACUUGCUCAACAGAAGAAGAUUACAAAACAAGAAGAGAAGAAAUAAAAAACGCACCUAAGAAAACGUGGAUACAUUAACUCGUCCACUGAAGUUCAAUUGAAAAAAGUCGACAAUUUAAACCGAGAAGAUCUAUUACAGUACAAACAAAGAAAAAGAAAACAACAGGGUACCUUUAGUAAUUUAUUUUUCCAAAGCGCUUUCAAAUGUACUUUCAAUUUUUAGAAAAAAUCUUAAAAUUCUCCAUCAAUCCGAAAGACUAAAGAAAAUGUUCCCCGAUCCGCCUAUCGUGGCAUUUAAACGAUAUAACAACAUAAUAAAAUUAACGGUACCAAUUUUCUUGCACCAGAUGCGCAUUUCGACAAUACAUGUCUACUCAGUGAUGCUCGUGGCCAAAAAAUUUGAAAUCCAAAGCUUAUAUAAAAGAUGAAGAGCUAUAAUCCGAAAGGUCCAAAAAGUAUAGCCAAAUCCGUGAAAGGAAUCAGAGCUUUGAAUGAGGGAGAUACAUUCCUUAAUUUAUAAUAAUUUCUAAUAUUUUGUAACAGCAAAUUUUAAUGAUACCAAAAAAUCCGUAUUUUCAUGCCAGUACCGAAGUACUGGCUACUGGGCUGGUGAUACCCUCGGGGACUUAUAGUCCACCAGCAGAGGCAUCGACCCAGUGGUAGUAAUAAAAUUAACGGUACCAGUUUUCUUGCACCAGAUUCGCAUUUCGACAUUACAUGUCUCUCCAGUGAUGCUCGUGGCCAAAAUAUAUGAAGAAUAUAACCGAAGAACUGGCUACGUACUUGGCUGGUGAUGCUCGUGGCCAAAAUAUUUGAAAUCCAAAGCUUAUAUUUAAGAUGAAGAGCUACGUAUAAUCCAAAAGGUCCAAAAAGUAUAGCCAAAUCCGUGAAAGGAAUCAGAGCUUUGCAUGAGGCAGAUACAUUUCUUAAUUUAUAAUAAUUUCUAAUAUGCAAAUUUUAAUAACCGUAUUUACUUGCCAGUACCGGAGUACUGGCUACUGGGCUGGUGAAUACCCUCGGGGACUUAUAGUCCACCAGCAGAGGCAUCCACCCAGUGGUAGUAAUAAAAUUAACGGUACCAAUUUUCUUGCACCAGAUUCGCAUUUCGAUAAUACAUGUCUCUCCAGUGAUGCUCGUGGCCAAAAUAUAUGAAAAUCCAAAGCUUAUAUAAAAGAUGAAGACAUAUAAUCCAAAAGGUCCAAAAAGUAAAGCAAAAUCCGUGAAAGGAAUCAUAGCUUUGCAUGAGGGAGAUACAUUCCUUAAUCUAUAAUAAUUUCUAAUAUUUUGUAACAGCAAAUUUUAAUAACACAAAAAAAUCCGUAUUUUCAUGCCAGUACCGAAAUACUGGCUACUUGGCUGGUGAUACCCUCGGGAACAUAUAGUCCACCAGCAGAGGCAUCGACCCAGUGGUAGUAAAAAAAUUAACGUUACCAAUUUUCUUGCACCAGAUGCGCAUUUCGACAAUACAUGUCUCUUCAGUGAUGCUCGUGGCCAAAAUAUUUGAAAUCCAAAGCUUAUAUUAAAGAUGAAAAGCUAUAAUCCAAAAGGUCCAAAACGUAUAGCCAAAUCCGUGAAAGGAAUCAGAGCUUUGCAUGAGGCAGAUAUAUUUCUUAAUUUAUGAUAAUUUCUAAUAUGCAAAUUUUAAUAACCGAAGAACUGGCUACGUACUUGGCUGGUAAUACCCUCGGGGACUUAUAGUCCACCAGCAGAGGCAUCCACCCAGUGGUAGUAAUAAAAUUAACGGUACCAAUUUUCUUGCACCAGAUUCACAUUUCCACAAUACAUGUCUCUCCGGUGAUGCUCGUGGCCAAAAUAUUUGAAAUACUCAAGAACCUGAAGGAUUCAACACAAUGUAUGAACGGUAAAUGACAUCUUCGUGCACAAAAAGCACAAAAACUUUAGAACCUGAAGGACUCAACACAAUGUAUAUACGAUAAAAGACAUCUUAGUGCACAACAAGCAUAAUUUACUAUUUUAUAAACAAACUCAUGGAUGUGGACCAUGUGGUAAACAUUGUGCAUUAUGCUCACAUAUAAAUGAAACCAAGGUAUUUUGUAACAACACCGGCAAAGAAUAUACCAUUCAGGGACAAAUAAAUUGUAAAACAGUAGGCGUGAUAUAUGCGAUUAAUUGUACAAAAUGUGAAAAAGUUAUAUAUGUAAGACAAACGGGUAAUACACUAUAUCAACGAAUGCUAUUGAACUUUUCAAAAAAAAAAAAGAACAAAGAAAACAUAAGAUCCAGUAGCCAAUCAUUUCAUUCAGAACAAUCAUUCAAUGACAAAUUUAAAAAUUACCGCCAUAAAAAGAGUAUUUGGAACAGAAACUUACAGAAAAACCAAAGAAGCCUUUUGGAUGAAAAAAAUAAAAACUUUAAAAAAUUAUAACGUAAUGUAUCCAAGCGAUGUUAUUGUUGUUUCAAUGCUGUAAUUUAUUCCAAUUAGAAGGUCGAAACGUAUGGAAAUUUGUGAUAUACCUUUUUCGAAUCCCGGCGAGGGAAGAACCAAAAAUUUGCGAAAGCAAAUUUACAGAUCUAACAUUGUUGGGUUGAUGUUUAGACGAGUUGUAUAUACAUUAUGUACACAGCCAUGUAUCACCAUCAUUGAUGGCGAUCCGAUGGAUACAUCUGUUGUAGGGUUGUCACUGACUCAGACGUACCUUUUAUUAUAUAUAUAUACGUAGUAGUACGACGCUAGAUUAAAACUGACGAGGAAAGGUAACACACGGCCACCGAAAGCUUUAUUAUUGUAGAGCCCAGGUGGUCAUGUGGUCUAGCGGGACGGCUGCAGUGCAGGCGAUUUGGUGUCACGAUAAUUAUCACAGUAGAAUGGGUUCGAAUCCCGGCGAGGGAGGAACAAAAAAAUUUGCAAAAGCAAAUUUUCAGAUCUAAAAUUGUUGGGUUGAUGUUUAGACGAGUUGUUUAUACAUAAUGUACACAGCCAUGUAUCACCAUCAUUGAUGGCGAUCCAAUGGAUAAAUCUGGUGUGGAGUUUUCACUGACUCAGUCGUACUUAUAAAUAUAAUUAUUUUCUGUGACUGUUUCUUACAUUAAUUUGUAGGAUCCUUUACUAUAGAUAAUUGAGCCGAUCUGUAACAAAAACAUCUCCAUGCCUUGUAUAUCCUGUACUGUAGUACGCCGCUAGAUUAAAACUACGAGGAAAGAUAACACACGCCACUGAAAGCUUUAUUUUGUGAAGCCAAGGUGGUCGUGUGGUCUAGCGGGACGGCUGAAGUGCUGGCGAUUUGGUGUCACGAUAUCUCAGAAGCAUGGGUUCGAAUGCCGGCGAGGGAAGAACAAAAAAAUAUGCGAAUUUUUUUUACAGAUCUAACAUUGUUGGGUUGAUCUUUAGACGAGUUAUAUAUAUAUAUGCAUAUAUAGACAAUAAUAGUGCAUUGACUUGACAUAUCAACGAUUAAGGAUGAGGCUUAGACACGGGGAAAUGCGAGGCUGUGCCACUAUUAUUGUCUUUAUACUGCAAUCUAAAAAAACAUUUUCAAUUGUUGUUUUAUGCGUUUAGGUUAUUUAUUUGAUUAAAAUUUUGGGAUUUUAAAUAUUGGGAAAAAUCCCCUUUAAAAAGGCCUCAAAUUAUGCUCGCAGAGAUAUUAACAACACAAUGAAAUUUACAUUUACCUGGUGAAACCAACACUCGAUGGUGAACGAAAUCGUUUGAGUAUGGAAUUAACUAUCAACCAUAAGCAUAAAACAUAAUGAUUUAUAGGUUGCAAAUAAAAAAUAUUAUCAAAUUAAAUAUGUUUCUCUAAUAACUGCAAAAGAAACAAGAUUGAGUCGUUUCACGCAUCGUUAUAUGCAUUGGAAGCAAGAACAGGUUGAAGAGUUCGUAUAAAUAAUUCAAUAUCAUUUUGGAAAUUUCUAUUUAAAUAUUUAUGAGGAAAAGUAAUAUCGGGUCAGUGACUGUAUAUGACAAAGAAAUAUAGGGUCAACGCAUUUUGACUGCUCAAAUAGAACGAGUGCAGUAUAAACAUAUACAUAUAUACUAGAUCAAUAUAGAAUUGGAAAUUCUCAUAUGACGCUCUACUUAAACUUUGGGUACAAAGCCAUGUUCUAAUUUGAAUAGAGUAUGGGCUGCACGUGAUUGACGUCACAAUUGAAAUUGUAACGUCAGAUUAAUUUUAAACAACGCCAAAGAUCAAACUGGCCAUUUUGUUGGUGUUGCUCGCUAGGAAAUUAAAUAAAAACAUUCUAAAAGUAAGUUUAAAUGUUUCUGUUCUUUUUAUUAUUGAUAAACUGUUGAUUUUUCUAUAACGUUUUUGUUCAUCAAAUCAAAAUGGCGACAUUUCGAGUGUUUACUAUAGGUCCGCUUUGAAGUACAAAAGUUCAAAAUAUCCUAUUAGAUUCGAAAAAAUUCUAUCAUGGGAUGCUCUAUGCUCUUUUUAACAUGGGUAGGCAUUAUAUUUGUAAAUAAUUAAUACCUCGCUAACGCUCGGUAUUAAGAUAUUUUACAAAUAUAAUGUCUACCCAUGUUAAAAUGAGCAUAGAUCAUGGCAUGAAAUAAUUAUUUCUUAAGUUUACAUUUGGGAAGCCGAAAUCAUCUCUUUUGUUAUAUAGUUUUGUUUUCCCCUAUACGUAAAUUUUUACAUGCAAGUCAAUAUAUAUAUGAGACAGACUAAACUAUAUAUGUUGUAUCCUUUAUCUGAAGCUGAUAAGUUAAUGCGUUCAACUGCCACCAAACAUUAGUAUUUAGAUGGAUGACAUCAUCUUUCUAGCGGGAAGUGAAGUUAACGGAUAGUGCUUACUUCUUCUUUUUCCUCAUAAGAAACUCGUGUAUGAAAUCAGCCUCAUAUAAAGUUGCAAGUCCGAAUGAUGAGUAGCAUGAUAGGUUCAAAUGUGUGUUAAAAAACACGUCUUUCAAACGUAACACAUAUUUUGUCUAUCAAGAAAUCAAACAACUUCAUAAUGUCAGUUUCAGAUAAUCUUUUAUUUGAAUCAGAUAUGUUUUACUAAGUACGACGUACCCCUUCCUUAGACAAUAUUCUUGUAUCUAAGUUGGCUGUUUUGUUUUAUGAACUAAAGCAGGACCAACUCUUCAAUUUAUCUUUUAGUUUGAAAUGGAACAAAAAUAACUUCUGUAAAACUUAGUAAAGUCAAAUGUUUUAAAACAGUUGUAAACCUGAGUUUGUAUGUACUCUAAAGAAUUUGGAAUUUGUAGUUUCAACAUCUAUUUCACGCAACCUCUACAAUAGGUAGUUUCACAAUAAAGUUUAAACCCGGCUUUGAUUGUUGAUUAAGGUGAUCUAAAAAAUUAUGAAGAGGCUUCGUGGAGCACCAAGAUAUAAACCAGCAACACAACGUUGUAUGUAAGGACACUCGUGUAAUUUAUGAAACUAAAACAGUAUACUAGGAAGAUCCAGUUCUUUAUCUUUGGUUAAAAUUCCACAUACCAGACAUAUCGUUAUCCAGAAUUCCCUCCUUGGUAAGUGUCGUGCUAGUUACCUUAUGUAUUAUCAAUCUGUCACUUUAAGGUGUUACUUAAGUAGAAAACAAAACAUUUCUCAUAAAAGUAAGUCAGGCCCUGCGGUCAUAAAACUUUUGAGAACGAUUUUUGUACUCAGAAUAAAAAAUCAACCAAUCAAAAUACUGGAUUUUGUGUUUUGAGCACUUGUUUGUUCUCAAAGUACUGAGUAAAGUUUUAUGACCGAGAGACCAGGUGUUGUGCAAUAUGUGAUUCAUUAAAAAUUAGUGUAGCAUGAUAACAGAAAUUUAAGGUGGAACCUAAAACAACAGGAAGAUAACUCUGUAAAGUCAGUAAACGUUUUAAUAACGUUGUGUUGUAAAGGGAAUAAUAAGCUUCUUAAUGAUCAAAAUUAGUGUUUGUCAAACUGCUAUAUAACCAGUGUAAUUUUUCCGACAAAACGGUUGGUGUAAAAUUUUUGAAAUUUUUAUAAUAUUGUUAAAGUGUUAAAGUAAAUACUUUGUCAAAAUUUAAUCAAAAUUAAACGAGCCAAAUUAAUUGUAGUGAAAGUGUAAGGUACCACCUUAAACAGAAAAAUAAAGUAUGUCAUCACAACUUUUCUUUUGUAGCUUGUACAUCUAAAGCAGAGUGUGAGGGUAUUCCCGACUUCUGUGAACAACGUUUUGUACACUGUCAUGAUGGCCAUUGCAUUUGUGUUUUCAUUUUUGAAACAGGCCUAGGAAAAAAGAGAUAAAUCGAACUAGAUGAACUAGACUAUACAAGUUGACAAUCAAUAAGAUAAUCACAUUAAUUAUAUAUAUGUAUUAUUAAAUUAUGACAGUUUAUGUAUGUCUUUGUUUUUUAUUUAAUGAUUUUAGACUCAUUUAUUAUAUGACAUUUUAUAAGUCUUGUUCAGUAUGAAAGUGAUAUUAAAGAAAAAGGUUCUUAUGUUGUACUGUUAUACCACUGUCCCAGAUUAGGGAGGAAGGUUUGGAUCCCGCUAACAUGUUUAACCAGCCACAUUAUUUAUGUAAGUACGGAGCCUGUAAUUCAGUGGUUGUCGUUUGUUUCUGUGUUACAUAUUUGUUUUUCGUUCAUUUUUGUUACAUUAAUAAGGCCGUUAGUUUUCUCGUUUGAAUUGUUUUACAUUGUCUUAUCUAGGCCUUUAAUUUUAUAGCUUACUAUGCAGUAUUGGUUUUGUUCAUUGUUAAAGGCCGUACGGUGAUCUAUAGUUGUUAAUGUCUGUCAUUUUCAUCUUUUGUGAAUUGUUGUCUCAUUGGCAAUCAUACCACAUCUUCUUUUUUAUAAGCCCUACGUUUGUUUUUGUCAGUUUUAAUGGACUGCCUCUUUUUUUAAUUUACCUUGGAGUUUGGUAUUUGUGACUUGGGAAAAUACAAAACGAAAAGUCUCUAACAAAUGGCAAAAUCAACUAAUAAAACACAUCAAACGAAUGGACAACAAGUGUCAUAUUUCUGACUUGGUACGGGCAUUCUUAAAUGUAGAAAAUGGUUGAUUUAACCUGGUUUUAUAGCGCCUAACCUUUUCCUUGUAUGACAGUUGCGUUAAAGUCCAUUUAAUUCACAACGAUGCGUGAGGUAAACAGACAUAAUAGGCAACAUUGUCAAAAUAAGAUUACAGCUCUUCAUCUUUUAUAUAAUCUUUGUAUUUCAAAUAUGUUGGCCACCAGCAUCACUGAAGAGACAUGAAUUGUCGAAAUGCGCAUCUGGUGCAGGAAUAUAUGUAUCGUUAAUGUUAUUACAGCAGUCAUCACCGUGCUACAAUCUCAAUCCGAACAAAGACAAAUACACACUUCGAAUCCAUUUUUGACAAAUAUACAUGAUAAGACUCCCAAUGUAGUGUAAAGGGAGAGGACUGUACAUGUCAUCUCUCUCCAUCUCAGAGGCAUUUCAAACUAAAUUUACUUUCCUUUUAAAUUGAAUUUUCAGUAGUUUAUACACAUUUUUAAUAAAUAUUAAUAUUCGAGCCAUAUGGGAACCUGAAUAGAGUGUUGAUGCCGCUUGCCUUUUCCAUGAAUUUGAAUCCAAAGAUAUGCGACAAGGUGCAAUGUCUUUUUGGAAGGUUCAUUGGGAAUUUUGAAGUGUCAGCGAUAACAGUCUAGAGUCAACCGUCGGCAAAGAAAUGUAUUUCCACAGUUCAUACUUCCUUCCAAGGGUGGAAGAGGACCCUCUCCAUAGUAAAAGAUACAUUCAUAAAAUAUAACUGAUAUGCAGCAAGUUGUCUCACAUGUUCGAGCUAUAUGGAGACCUAGAUAGAGUAUUUAUGCCACUUGCCUUUUCCACGAAUUUGAACCCAGAUAUGCGAAAAGGUGCAUUGUCUUCUUGAAAGGUUCAAUGGAAAUUUUGUAAGAGUCGGGCGAUAACAGUCAAGAGUCAAACGUGGAGCAAUGGAAUGUAUAUAUCCACAGUCGCACAGUAACGAACAAGACCAAGUCAUUCAGUGUUUAGUUCAUGAACGAAACGUCAAAAAUAUUUUUUAACAAAGCGAUCCAUUCUUUAAAAUACCACAAAAAUGUACCCUAACAGACAGAAAAUUCAGGACAGUAGUUCCUAUUUGACAAAAGAUUCUACAUAUAUUCUAUAUAAAAAAGAAGAUGUAGUUUGAUUGCCAAAUAGACAUUCUAUAUACAUAAGAAACAAAUGUUCAACACUUUGCCACUUGCCUGGAUGGGAUAUAGUUUUGAUAUAAAAAGACUGCCACUUUAUUUUAACUCGAGACAAAAUUGGGUAGUAAUGCUUUAAAAAGCAAAAAUUAACAUAGAAUGCAAUGGCCCAUGAAUGAGUAGGUUUAUGUCUCUAGUUUAUAUUUUGAUGAUGCAAAUAUACUGUAAGGAAAUGUUCCCGAAUGCCAUCCAUGACAAUGGAUACUAAGAAAUAUAAAAAUAACAAUUGACAAUCUAACUACGAACAUGAAAAAACUUGAACAAUUAUCUGUAUCUUUAGGUCAAGUAUAAUGUUUAGAUUUGUACAAAACAAGAUUUUCCUGUAUGUCACCUUCACCUAAAGUUUUUAUAAUAAUCUGUCUUAUAAAUGAAGAUUACUUCCUAUUGAUGUAUAUAUACUUUGUUCUUUGUUCACGUCUCUCAUAACUAUAUUAACAAAUAUGAAUACCAAAGUAACAAUUUUCUUUCUGGUCUGUGUUUUCGGUAAGCAAACAUUUUAUACUCAGUUUAAUAACCUUUUUUUCGUCUGUAUUGUAAUACUAUUUUAAUCAUCUUUUGUUAUCUUACAUGUCUAAGAUAAUAUUUGCAACAUUCAACGCGAUGUGUGAACUAAACAAGCAAACAUUAUAGGUAUAAACAAUAGGGGUACAGCAUUCAACAUUGUGUUAUUAUCUUAAUAAUUAUUACGCACACAAAUAUAUAAACGAACAAUAACCAUAUCACAAUAACACAAUGACAUGAUUUAUAAGUACAGAGCUACGACAAAUGUAACAAAGAAACGCAGAAAUACAUAGAGAUACUCUCGAUGUAUUAUGUCUAAAUGAUUCACUGUUAAAUAAAUAUUGAUAAUUAUAAUAUAUUAUCCAAUUUGUAUAUUUACGCUACCGAAGACUUAUUCAACUGGUCUCACAGUGAAAGCACAUGAACACUUAUGAUACUUAUGUACUUUGGAUCCAGAUAAAUCCGUAAGGACACGUGGCAAAUUUAUUUGGCCUUUAUCCCGUUUGCAGUUAGUUUAUAUCAACUUCUAAUUGGGUAAAAUUAUCUGUUCAGCUUCUGGGGGCAUCGUUCACAAAUUGUACAAACUAGCCUGGCUAAACGUGACGUCAUACAAAUGAAAACUUACCAACUGAAGGUUAUUACGUUACCUCAACGAUUGAAAUUUGGAUAAAAUCAUAUCAAAACGGCGAUUUUUAGAUAGGUGUUGUUUUAUUGUCAGUAAUUAUAAUGUAGUAAUCGAACAUUUGUUGAUCCAUCCAAUUCAAUUUGGCGGGUCCCAUGGGUUACGACUGGUUAACUGGAUUUGACAGUAGCUUUUAGCAAAUAAAAUAAAUUAUUACAUGAAAAUUUCAUUAGAAAUGUGUUUUGAUUAUUUUAAACGGAAUAAAUCUCUCAUAUAUGUAGAACCUAUACAUUAUAUGUUAUACUAACAAUAUAAUGUGUUGGGAGAACCACAUAGUAUUGUGUAAGAAAUACAUAUUAUGUUGAAAGUCAAAUGUAUAAUGUUGCAGGUAACACAUGCUAUGUUGAAAGUAUCUUAUAUAGUAUUGUAACUACCGCAAAUAAUAGUGUUAGUAACACAGAUAAGGUUUAAAGUACAACAUACAUUAUGAAUAGUACAACAUAUAAUGUUGUGAGUACCACGAAUAAUUCUAAAAGUACCACACAUUAUAUUCUAAGUACCACAUAUAAUUUUGCUAGUACUACAUUUUAUGUUGUAAGUAUCACAAAUAAUAUUGUUAGUACCAUAAUGUAAUAUCUGAGUGAAAAAGUAUGUUUCAAAAAGAUCCAGGUCAAAGGUGCUUGUGCAGACAUGGUAUUAGUUAAACAAUGAUAUUUCCCUCUUAAUCAGAUGAGAUGUGCUAUGUUUUGGUUUUAUAACACACCCAGCAUACAUUUUGUAUGAAGCAUGUGUUCGUCGCAUGUCUGGGAUUUUUUAUACGAAAUUUAUCGAAGUAUGGUCUUCUCUUGAAAUAACAUGCAUCGAUGUGAGGCAACUUGAAGGUAAUGUGUUAUAGUCCUUACUUUAAAUUAUAAUCAGAUAUAGGAAGAUGUGGUGUGAGUGCCAAUGAGACAACUCUCCAUCCAAAGAACAAUCUAAAAAGUAAACCAUUAUAGGCCUUCAAUACGGAGCCUUGGCUCACACCGAAAAACAAGCUAUAAAGGGCCCCAAAAUUACUAUUGUAAAAUCAUUCAAACGGGAAAACCAACGGUCUAAUCUAUAUAAACAAAACGGGAAACGAGAAACACGUAUAUAUUACAUAAACAAACGACAACUACUGUACAUCAGAUUUCUGACUUAGGACAGGUGCAAAUAUUUGCAGCGGGAUUAAACGUUUUAAUGGAUUCAAACCUUCUCCCUUUUUCUGAAACAAUAGCAUAACAUCACAACAUAGAAAAACACCCGAUAAAAUAUCAAUUGGCAGACUUAACUCAAUCAAAAAACGUAUGGUUAAUUGUUCACUUUUACCAGCUGUGACUUGAAUGGCACUCAUAACACAUCUGUUAUCUAUCUAUACACACCUGUAUCUGUAAAAACACAAAUUUUACGUUUCAGUUUUCAUCACAGGAGAGUCAUGUAACAACGUGAGCGGUUGUGUGUACACCAGAUGCGCAGGCCAAACUAAGAUUACCUGUAUUAACCACUUGUGUACUUGUAUGCGUGCCCAUGGUAAAGUUGUUUACUUCAAAUAUAAUUGCAUACCUUGAAAUAAGGUGUUCUGCUACAAAAAGAAAAUGACCUUGUUUAAAUAAUCAACAAUUUCGAAGUAUGAGUUACUUUCAAUACACCCUUCACCGUUCAAAAAAACCCAUUUAAACCUUUUGAAAGAUUUUCAGGAGUUUAGCUUGAAAUGAUGAAUAUAAAUGAAUACGAGUUCACUUGUUGAGCAUUUAUGAUUUACACAACCAAACGACAAACAGGUGCCUUUACAGUAUUUAGAUAGGAAAAAUUGUAUGGCAAAGUUAGUGAAUUUUUAAUUCCAAUUUUGUAUGUAUUUUCCUCGUGUCCGACUGUAGGUUUUUCAAAAUUUCAAAAACAGAAGAACAAAAAUCAUGGCCAAAAAUGAUGGUAGGAACGAUGAUCUCUCAAUUUAAUACUUGGCAAUAGACAAGGCUGUUUAAUAAAAAGUAUAAUAUUGUUUUGUUUAUUUUUUGUAGCAUGUAAAGAAGACAUGGCUUGCGAGAUUUAUUGUCAUCCAGAAAAAGCACAUUGUAUUCGUGAACGUUGUUCGUGUAGCCCUCAUUAGACCUUUUCAACAUCUCUCGACACCGACUAAUGACACCUACAGUUUACAGGUAGAAUGGAUGGGUCGUCUCAAAGACAAAAACCAUCAUGAUUAUUGUUACGGUAACAUAUUGGAUUGGCGGUUUUAUACUGUUUUGACUAUAUAGUUUAAGAAUAUAUAUCAACCAAAUUAAUAAAUAAAUAUAUGUAUGGUGGCCGGAUGCGGCCAUUUAUUUCGCCUUUUCGCGUUUUUGUGACUUCUCCUUGCAUUUUGCAAACGCGAAAUUGGGAAUUCGAGAAAUCGAGAAAGCAAAAUCGAGAAAUUGAGAAAUCGGGAAAUCGAG
rnacentral:lncRNA from 1 species